rnacentral:lncRNA from 7 species
CCGUUUUUCCCGUAGCAUCUCCUGCGUUGGGGGUUAACCGGAGAAACAUGUUGUCUGUUGUCUAGUUGGGCUCCGGUGGUGCGCCACCGUGGGGGGACCUGCACCACCGGCCUGUGCUCUAAAGGUGGAAGAACGACGCUAGUGUGUCGAUCUGGAAACAAACGGCCAGGAUUAGAGAUGGGAGUAUUUUGAUCGUGAUCAUUGGAUCCACUCCGAUGGCCACGAUUAUAUGGUGGAUACCCUUUCGGCCCGUUGAUCCUUGGGCGUUGGAUCGGGAUCGGGCGAUCGGGAUUGGCGCAGAACGUGUGAGCCUUGCAGGCCAUGGAUCCACGAUCCGAUGGCCGAAGAUGGUUCUGGGUUGAGUUUUAAUCAGGGUGGUCG